CCAGACUCCUACGGGAGGCAGCAGUGGGGAAUAUUGGGCAAUGGGGGAAACCCUGACCCAGCGACGCCGCGUGAGGGAAGAAGGUUUUCGGAUUGUAAACCUCUGUCCUUGGUGACGAUAAUGACGGUAGCCAAGGAGGAAGCCACGGCUAACUACGUGCCAGCAGCCGCGGUAAUACGGAGGAUGCGAGCGUUAUCCGGAUUUAUUGGGUUUAAAGGGUGCGCAGGCGGCACGGCAAGCCGGCGGUCAAAUCGCGGGGCUCAACCCCGGCCAGCCGUCGGAACUGCCGGGCUAGAGUGGGCGAGAAGUGCGCGGAAUGCGUGGUGUAGCGGUGAAAUGCAUAGAUAUCACGCAGAACUCCGAUGGCGAAGGCAGCGCACCGG
rnacentral:rRNA from 1 species